UCCCUACGGGGGGCAGCAGUGGGGAAUAUUGCGCAAUGGGGGAAACCCUGACGCAGCAACGCCGCGUGAGUGAGGAAGUAUCUCGGUAUGUAAAGCUCUAUCAGCGGGGAAGAAAGAGGACGGUACCCGACUAAGAAGCCCCGGCUAACUACGUGCCAGCAGCCGCGGUAAUACGUAGGGGGCAAGCGUUAUCCGGAUUUACUGGGUGUAAAGGGAGCGCAGGCGGUAUGGCAAGUCAGAUGUGAAAACCCAGGGCUCAACCCUGGGACUGCAUUUGAAACUGCCAUACUGGAGUGCCGGAGAGG
rnacentral:rRNA from 1 species